CUCUCCCUUCUCUCUUCCCCCUCCAGCCUCCACUCCUUCGCCCGCUCACUCACCCUCUCCCUCUCCCGCUGCCCCCCCUUUCUCCCCCACCUCUUUGUUUCAGCUGAGAACCAGCUCCUCGGGACAGUUCCCACACUGCAGUGCCUCUGGUGAGGAGACAGCGCCACUGAGGCCUCCUCUGAAGUCUCAAAAUGUGACCUAUGCCAUCACUGAGGCCGCAGGAACAAGAGGUGGGUGUCCAUGACAUUGGUACCUGUCAUCCCUGUGUGCAGCAGGUGUGCCCCACCCUGGAGGCGGCAGAAAAAGGCUUUCACAUCCCUGGCACAUGUGGACCUGGCUCCACCAACCCAAGGCUGCCUGGGGAAGAAUUGACUCAUACCUGCGCAGGGUAGGCGGCCUGAGCCAGCCCCCCACCCUUGAGCUGGGACAGGGCCUUCCGAAUGGUGUUCAACUCCUGGAUGGUGGCUCCACGGGCUGCCAGCAGUCUGACAUAAUUCAAGAAUUUCCUGAGUGCCUUCUGUGUGGGCCAAAUGCUGUAGCUGCUGGGAUAGAUUAACAUGGACCAAAAUACGGCAUCAUCUUACUGGGCGCGUUCACUUCCCGACAGUUCCAGAACAUGGCACUCGAUCUGUCCUUGUUGCCUUCUAAACUAUUCGAAGCAGACUCUGUAUCAGCCUUUCUAGCUUCUGAAAUAAAGGCACAGGAAUUACAGGGAA